CCUACGGGGGGCAGCAGUUAGGAAUAUUGGACAAUGGGCGCAAGCCUGAUCCAGCCAUGCCGCGUGAACGAUGAAGGCCUUCGGGUUGUAAAGUUCUUUAGCCGAUGAUUAUAAUGACUGUAGUCGGAAAAUAAGCCCCGGCUAACUUCGUGCCAGCAGCCGCGGUAAUACGAAGGGGGCGAGCGUUAUUCGGAAUCACUGGGCGUAAAGCGUGCGUAGGCGGUCUUGUAAGUUAGGAGUGAAAGCCCAGGGCUUAACCUUGGAAUUGCUCUUAAAACUGCAAGGCUAGAAUCUCGGAGAGGAUAGCGGAAUUUCCAGUGUAGCAGUGAAAUGCGUAGAUAUUGGAAGGAACACCAGUGGCGUAAGCGGCUAUCUGGACGAGUAUUGACGCUGAGGCACGAAAGCGUGGGG
rnacentral:rRNA from 1 species